UUGUCUUCCCUUGUAAAUAAAUCCCACAUUUACCGACUUCUGCCCAGCAUGGAGAAGCUUCGGCUGAGGAAGAGGAGUGAGACUAACGGCAGCUGACAGGGGUCAGUCUGUGACCGCGCUGCUGCUGUUAACGACGGGUCUAUAAGUUGGCGACAGAUCUAUUCUGGACCGAGAACCGAGAGACAGACACCCUGUACCAGUGCAUGUGAGAGGAAGGCUGAGCACAUGGCCCAGCCAAUGAGUUCAAAGGUUUGACUGUACCUCCUCCAAACGGCGCCCAGAUGACCCGCCGUAUAGCCUUGACCCAGUCGUCCAUGUCUGUCUGGGAGUUUGCCAUGAGCAGGAAGGAUUCAUGGCUGAUUGGUGCACGGUCCUUGUCUCCUGUUCCACCUAGAAGGACAAACAAGGGACAAAGGUCAGCCCUGUGAUUGACUGACAGAGGGGGCAGUCCAGGGUGUGCCUCUCCUUUCUCCCGAUGACAGCUGGGAUUGGCUUCAAACCCAGUGACCCCAAACAAGAUAAGUGGGAUAGACAGAUGGAUGGAUAACAACACUUAAAUGGUGACAGUCUACACUAAAUAGAAGUAUGGAAGUUGUUUCAAGACACCAGGAGCAUGAGAUCCUUUCAAGGCCACACAAUGGUAUUACAGAGUUGCAUUUUCAAACUACAAAUUUAUCAAGGUACACUGUCAAAAUCUGAGUGAGUUCCCGGUGUUUUUUGGAGCAAUAUGAAGUCAACCAAGUGUAAGAUAAUGUAGGGUGGAGAACUAAGAACAAGUAUAUAAUAUGUUUAUAAAAAUUAUUUAAUAAA